AGGUGAAAAGCACUUCGAACAGAAGAGUGAAAUAGUCCCUGAACCCAUACGCCUACAAGCAGUCGGAGCCGCUUCGUGCGGUGACGGCGUGCCUUUUGCAUAAUGAGCCUACGAGUUACUCAUCACCAGCGAGGUUAAGUACUUCAGGUACGUAAGCCGAAGCGAAAGCGAGUCUGAAUAGGGCGUCAAGUUGGUGGUGGUAGACGCGAAACCUUAGUGAUCUACCCAUGGGCAGGGUGAAGGUUUGGUAACACAAACUGGAGGCCCGAACCGGUAAACGUUGAAAAGUUUUCGGAUGACCUGUGGGUAGGGGUGAAAGGCCAAUCAAACUGGGAAAUAGCUCGUACUCUCCGAAAUGCAUUUAGGUGCAGCCUCUGUUGUUUUGUUCUAGAGGUAGAGCUACUGAUUGGAUGCGAGGGCUUCACCGCCUAUCAAAUCCGGCCAAACUCCGAAUGCUAGAACAUGAAGACAGGGAGUGAGCCAGCGGGUGCUAAGGUCCGUUGACGAAAGAGGGAGAACUCAGACCAUCAGCUAAGGUCCCCAAUUAUAUGCUAAGUUGGAAUAAAAACGGGGUGGGACUGCUUAGACAGCUAGGAUGUUGGCUUGGAAGCAGCCAUUCAUUUAAAGAGUGCGUAACAGCUCACUAGUCGAGCGGUCCUGCAUGGAUAAUACGCGGGCAUAAGCAUAUAACCGAAGCUAUGGGAUUGUAGAUGAUACAAUCGGUAGGAGAGCAUUCCAUUCAGCGUAGAAGCAGUACCGUGAGGUAUUGUGGAGCGGAUGGAAAAGCAAAUGUAGGCAUAAGUAACGAUAAUGCGGGUGAGAACCCCGCACGCCGAAAGAUCAAGGAUUCCCCGGCAAUGUCAAUCAUCCGGGGGUAAGUCGGAUCCUAAGGGUAAGCCGAGUGGCGAUCCCGAUGGUAAACAGGUUAAUAUUCCUGUACUGAUCAUAACUGCGAUGCAGCGACGCAGAGGUGACACUGCUGCGUACUGACGGAAUAGUACGUUGAAACCCGUAUUCUUUGAUACCGGUAGUGAAGCACGCCGGUAGAGAUGAAAGGUGAUAGUACCGCAAUGCUUCGGUUGCGCGGAUAAUGCAGGUAAGCUGACUGCCAAGAAAACCUGCUAAGCUUCAGGUAAUGAUCAUCCGUACUGUAAACGGACACACGUGAUCAGGUAGAAAAUACUAAGGCGCUCGAGAGAUUCAUGGUUAAGGAACUAGGCAAAAUGGUCCUGUAACUUCGGGAUAAAGGACGCUCUUGUGAAAGAGCCGCAGAUAAUAGGCCCAGGCGACUGUUUACCAAAAACACAUGGCUAUGCUAAUUCGCAAGAAGAUGUAUAUGGCCUGACACCUGCCCGGUGCCGGAAGGUUAAGAGGAGAGCUCAGAGGUAACUCGAAGGUUUGAAUUGAAGCCCCGGUAAACGGCGGCCGUAACUAUAACGGUCCUAAGGUAGCGAAAUUCCUUGUCGGGUAAGUUCCGACCUGCACGAAUGGUGUAACGAUCUGGGUACUGUCUCAACCAUGAGCUCGGUGAAAUUGUAGUUCCGGUGAAGAUGCCGGAUACCCGCAACGGGACGGAAAGACCCCGUGAACCUUUACUGCAGCUUUGCAUUGAUUUUGGGUAACAGAUGUGUAGGAUAGGUCGGAGGCUUUGAUGCUGCGUCGUCAGGCGUAGAGUAGCCGUCGUUGAAAUACGACCCUUUUGUUAUCUGAGGUCUAAUCCCGUUAGGGAGACAUUGCAUGGUGGGUAGUUUGACUGGGGUGGUCGCCUCCAAAAGUGUAACGGAGGCUUCUCAAGGUACCCUCAAGGCGUUUGGUAAUCGUCUGCAGAGUGCAAUGGCAUAAGGGUGCUUGACUGUGAGACCGACACGUCGAUCAGGUUGGAAACAAGAGCAUAGUGAUCCGGUGGUUCCGCAUGGAAGGGCCAUCGCU
rnacentral:rRNA from 1 species